GUGCCAGCAGCCGCGGUAAUACAGAGGUCUCAAGCGUUGUUCGGAUUCAUUGGGCGUAAAGGGUGCGUAGGUGGCGGGGCAAGUCUGGUGUGAAAUCCCGGGGCUCAACCCCGGAACUGCACUGGAUACUGCCUUGCUAGAGCACUGGAGAGGGAACUGGAAUUUACGGUGUAGCAGUGAAAUGCGUAGAUAUCGUAAGGAAGACCAGUGGCGAAGGCGAGUUCCUGGACAGUUGCUGACACUGAGGCACGAAGGCUAGGGGAGCAAACGGGAUUAGAUACCCCCGUAGUCC
rnacentral:rRNA from 1 species